rnacentral:tRNA from 1 species
GGGCAUGUAGUGUAGGGGUUAUCGCGCCUCAUUUGCAAUUUGAGGAGGUCAGGAGUUCAAUUCUCCUCUUGUCCA